rnacentral:ncRNA from 2 species
UACACUUGCGGCACUUUUGGUGCUCGCGUCCGCUUCUCUCGCGGAUGCAGUCAAACGGGAAACAGGGAGCGAAGUUCCGGCGCAUGACCGGAGCGCGCCAACCUGUGCUGCCCCCGCAACGGUAAGCGACCGCAACGCAAGUUGCAAGUCGUCCCUCGCGCGUUUUUCGCGGCGUAUCGCGUGAUUUUUUAUCGCGGAUGCCGUCUGCAAGAAACGUGUCGACGCCACUGCGCGCCAUGCGCGGGAAGGCGGGACGAAGCGUCGCCAGCCCGGAUACCGGCCAAUCGUCCAGCACGCCG